AAGCGAGAAAGCGUUGCCGCAGGCAACGACCCGAAGGGCGAAGCGCGCAGCGCUGAGUAAUCCUUCCCCUACCACCA
rnacentral:sRNA from 1 species